rnacentral:rRNA from 1 species
GAUGAACGCUGGCGGCGUGCCUAAUACAUGCAAGUCGAGCGAACUGAUUAGAAGCUUGCUUCUAUGACGUUAGCGGCGGACGGGUGAGUAACACGUGGGCAACCUGCCUGUAAGACUGGGAUAACUUCGGGAAGCCGAAGCUAAUACCGGAUAGGAUCUUCUCCUUCAUGGGAGAUGAUUGAAAGAUGGUUUCGGCUAUCACUUACAGAUGGGCCCGCGGNGCAUUAGCUAGUUGGUGAGGUAACGGCUCACCAAGGCAACGAUGCAUAGCCGACCUGAGAGGGUGAUCGGCCACACUGGGACUGAGACACGGCCCAGACUCCUACGGGAGGCAGCAGUAGGGAAUCUUCCGCAAUGGACGAAAGUCUGACGGAGCAACGCCGCGUGAGUGAUGAAGGCUUUCGGGUCGUAAACUCUGUUGUUAGGGAAGAACAAGUACGAGAGUAACUGC